UGUAAUUUUGAUUUUUUUGGGAUUUUGGAUUUUCCACGUCUAAUUUAGCUAAUAAACCAAUAUUCAAAACGCAACCGUUUCGUCGUCGAAGGUCGGAUCAAAAAAGUAAUGCAGGAAUUCUUUUCGUGUAGGUCUGAAGAUGCCGUGUGUAAAGUUUUGUGUACGCUACCGUUUCGUCGUCGAAGGUCGGAUCAAAAAAGUAAUGCAGGAAUUCUUUUCGUGUAGGUCUGAAGAUGCCGUGUGCAAAGUUUGGUGUCGAUUGCCCAAGAAAUGUGGGAGGAGUAGCGAAAAUACAGUUUUGCGGUUUUCGCGAAAAAAAAUU
rnacentral:lncRNA from 1 species